UAAUGCUUAGGAAUCUGCCUAGUAGUGGGGGAUAACCCGGGGAAACUCGGGCUAAUACCGCAUACGCCCUACGGGGGAAAGCGGGGGACUUUCGGGCCUCGCGCUAUUAGAUGAGCCUAAGUCCGAUUAGCUAGUUGGUAGGGUAAUGGCCUACCAAGGCGACGAUCGGUAGCUGGUCUGAGAGGACGACCAGCCACACUGGGACUGAGACACGGCCCAGACUCCUACGGGAGGCAGCAGUGGGGAAUAUUGGACAAUGGGCGCAAGCCUGAUCCAGCGAUGCCGCGUGUGUGAAGAAGGCCUGCGGGUUGUAAAGCACUUUCAGUAGGGAAGAAAAGCCGAGUGCUAAUAUCACUCGGUCUUGACGUUACUUACAGAAGAAGCACCGGCUAACUCCGUGCCAGCAGCCGCGGUAAUACGGAGGGUGCGAGCGUUAAUCGGAAUUACUGGGCGUAAAGGGCGCGUAGGCGGUUUGGUAAGUCGGGUGUGAAAGCCCCGGGCUCAACCUGGGAAUUGCAUUCGAUACUGCCUGGCUAGAGUAUGGUAGAGGGAAGCGGAAUUCCGGGUGUAGCGGUGAAAUGCGUAGAUAUCCGGAGGAACACCAGUGGCGAAGGCGGCUUCCUGGACCAAUACUGACGCUGAGGCGCGAAAGCGUGGGGAUCAAACAGGAUUAGAUACCCUGGUAGUCCACGCCCUAAACGAUGAGAACUAGCCGUUGGAGGAGCUUUGUCCUUUAGUGGCGCAGCUAACGCGAUAAGUUCUCCGCCUGGGGAGUACGGCCGCAAGGUUA
rnacentral:rRNA from 1 species